rnacentral:rRNA from 1 species
UUGACAUGCAGAGAACUUUCCAGAGAUGGAUUGGUGCCUUCGGGAACUCUGACACAGGUGCUGCAUGGCUGUCGUCAGCUCGUGUCGUGAGGUGUUGGGUUAAGUCCGUAACGAGCGCAACCCUUGUCCUUAGUUACCAGCACGUUAUGGUGGGCACUCUAAGGAGACUGCCGGUGACAAACCGGAGGAAGGUGGGGAUGACGUCAAGUCAUCAUGGCCCUUACGGCCUGGGCUACACACGUGCUACAAUGGUCGGUACAAAGGGUUGCCAAGCCGCGAGGUGGAGCUAAUCCCAUAAAACCGAUCGUAGUCCGGAUCGCAGUCUGCAACUCGACUGCGUGGAGUCGGAAUCGCUAGUAAUCGUGAAUCAGAAUGUCACGGUGAAUACGUUCCCGGGCCUU